rnacentral:rRNA from 1 species
ACCCGCUGAAUUUAAGCAUAUAACUAAGCGGAGGAAAAUAAACUAACCAGGAUUCCCCCAGUAACGGCGAGUGAAGCGGGAAGAGCUCACGUUGUAAAUCUGACUUCGGUCCGAAUUGUAGUCUGGAGAGGCGUGACCAGCUGGAGACGGGGGCGAAGUCUCUUGGAAAAGAGCAUCAAGGAGGGUGACAAUCCCGUUCUUGCCCCCGCCCUCCACGCGUACGGUCCGUUUUCUACGAGUCGAGUUGCUUGGGAUUGCAGCUCAAAGCGGGUGGUAAAUUCCAUCUAAAGCUAAACACGGGUGGGAGACCGAUAGCGAACAAGUACCGUGAGGGAAAGAUGCAAAGAACUUUGAAAAGAGAGUUAAAGAGUGCCUGAAAUUGCUGAAAGGGAAGCGAAGGAAACCAGUGUCUGACAGUUCCGCUUCUCCUUUGCCCUUCGGGGCGUUGGUUUGCGUUUCUGUCGUGGCCAGGGCUGGGUAGUGUUGCGGGAGUCUGCGCAACGGAAGGUGGCAUCUCCUCGGAGUGUGAAUACCGUGGCGUGUCGUCGCGACGCUGGCCAGUUCUGACGAAAUGGUUUUCUUUACCCCGUCUUGAAACACGGAA